ensembl:lncRNA
ACAAAAUCUGAAAAUAUUUUCUAUAUCCUUUAUGGGGAAUUGAUUAAAAUAUUAUAGAAUUUCUGUAAAGUAGAUUAUUAUGCCGGAUGCACAAAUGCUUUGCAUAUUAGCUUCUGCGAAGUGGGGCAACAUAAACUAAAGGAGAGUCCAGUCCUGCUAGACUUGUGCUUUUCCUUUUCUGAUGCAGUCUUCUAAGGAGAAUGGAGUUAUGGAGAGUGCGGUUGGAGAGCUCAUCGAUAGAAACAAAUGAGGAGGAAAAGGAGGAGUAAUGAGCUGAACCUAAGUGUGUCUGUGUUUGAUAGACUCUGAGGAGGAGAGUUUUUUGAAUAGAGAAGAUUUCUGGUAUCCACCAUCUGCCUCUGGCCAUGGACCACUCUCUGGACAAUUUCAGUAUGAAGGGAGCAUCUUUGUCGACCAGUGUUAUGCAGAAGACAGUUUGGAGAAAGAUACUCUAAGACUGGGUGGGACAUUGACAAGGCUGUCUGCUGGUACACAUCUGUGUGGGUUCUUUGGAUCAAAUACUUUCUACUUGGACUACAUGUUGGAAUUACCUGGGGGAUUUUUAAAACUCAGGGAAGUCUGGGCGUCAUGCAAAGCCAACUUAAUCAAAAUCUCUAGAGGCUAUAUCCCCUCUCCUCAAAUUCAUAUUUGAGCAGCCGUGAAGAGAUACCCCACGCCCAAGAUAAUACAGACUAAAGUGAAAUGAGACCAAAAUGAAACAAGAUUUUAAAAAAAAGCUAAAUUUGACCUUCACUCUGAAAAGUAAUACCGCUCUUCAGUCAUCAUUGUUAUUAUGGCGCCUUCAUGCAAUUAAAAUAUCUGGAUGAAAAAAAUGCAUGGUUCAAAUUCUCAGUGGCACACUGCACUUCAGUCCAAUUGGAGGCAUCUGGACAUGGAAAGACAGUACCAUAAAGUUUUUCAACUGAAAUUAGGGGUGAGGUAUGUAUUAAAACUUUGAAUCAUAUUAAAAAUGAUUGGGUUCUAUGGAAAUUUCUUAUUUUUAAAAAAAUAUUCUGUAUCAUUACUGUAUAUAUUAAGUUAGAUCUUCAUUCAAUACUUAAGAGAAUCAUUAGUGAUCUUAAAUGGAUAUUUUAUCUGCUGUAAAACUCCUAAAAAAGAGCUAAGCUAAAUGCCCCAUUCCUGUGUUUCUUCUCUAAAGAUAAUUCUGUAAAUAGGGCAGCUACUGCUGCCUAGAAUAUCCUUUAGUCAUUUAAGAUGUGUUUUAUCCUGGUAUUAAUUAAAUUCAUUUCUAAUUUUAAAUUUAAAAAAAUUAAAGGUUAGCUCCUCUCUCCUUCAGUUGUAACCUAGACUUUGAGCAGAGUAAAAAUAAAGUAUGACCUAAAAUCUCUUCUCAAUGUUAUUUUCAUUGUUUGUUUUUUUUUCCUUCUAAGAAAAGUCAUAUUUUUUUAAAUGAUCCAGGUCACAUUCUAGGCUAGAGUUAAGAACUUCAGGGAGGGCUGCAUCCUAAUUCUCCUUUUUGUAUUUUUUUUUUCUUUUUUGGAUCUCCAAGUAAUUUUUUAUUGACUUAAUUGACAUAUAACAUCAUAUUAGUUUCAAAUGUACAACAUAAUGAUUCCAUAUGUAUAUAUGUUGUGAAAUGAUCAUAACAUCAAAUCUAGUUAACAUCCAUCCAAGUGAUUUUUAUGCACAUUAAAACUUGAAAAGCAAGUGACUUUCAGCCCAGGCUUCCAAUUAGGAUCUCAUGUGCUCAGUCACUCAAUAGUGUCCGACUCUGCGACCCCCCACAGACUAUAGCCUCCAGGCUCCUCUGUCCAUGGAAUUUCCUAGGAAGAAUACUGGAGUGGGUUGCCAUUUCCUCCUCCAGGGGAUCUUCCCCAGGAUAUCAUAUAGUUUUAAGAACUGUUGUCACCUGUGCCC